UCCAAAAUAAAAAAAAAUACAAAUAAACUAUAGUACUAGUAAUUUCAAUGUCGAACUACUUAGAAUGAUUUACCAAACUUAAAAAUUAAAAAAUAGAACAAGAAAUAUGGAAGAAAUAACAAAAACUCAGGAGACACCCAAAUAACAUUCUUCACUCUUAAGAUAUGCUUUCAACUGACCAUCAAUAUGUUCUUUGGUUAAAUGUGAAUUCCUGUAAAGAAAAGCUCCAUAACUUUAGUCAACCAUGUACAUAUAAAAGGUAAUGAAAUAUUAGCUUAAAGAAAAUAUUUCAAAUAUCUGACAUUGAAUAUUAACACAAGAUCAACAACCAUCACAAUAAACAAUCAAAUAUAUCUCAUUAGUUGAUUAGUCUAACCUGAAUUGUGAAUAAAAAUUCUUAUCAACUAUCGGUUGAUACAUCAUCAGUACUCGAAUC
rnacentral:lncRNA from 1 species